rnacentral:rRNA from 1 species
GACAGAGGGGGCAAGCGUUGCUCGGAAUCACUGGGCGUAAAGGGCGCGUAGGCGGGAUGGCAAGUCGGUCGUGAAAUCCUUCGGCUCAACCGAAGAACGUCGGCCGAUACUGCCGUUCUUGAGGGAUGCAGAGGAGAUUGGAAUUCCCGGUGUAGCGGUGAAAUGUGUAGAGAUCGGGAGGAACACCGGUGGCGAAGGCGGGUCUCUGGGCAUCUCCUGACGCUGAGACGCGAAAGCGUGGGGAGCAAACAGG